rfam:Clostridium sp. CAG:567 genomic scaffold, scf7
GCCACUUUAGCUCAGCUGGUAGAGCAACUGACUUGUAAUCAGUAGGUCAUCUGUUCGAAUCAGAUAAGUGGCU